rnacentral:rRNA from 1 species
GGUGAGUAACACGUGCUUAAUCUACCUUUUAGAUUGGAAUACCUAAUGGAAACAUUGGUUAAUGCCGGAUACGCAUGAAGUCGCAUGACUUCGUUGUGAAAGGAGCGUUUGCUCCGCUAAGAGAUGAGGGUGCGGAACAUUAGCUAGUUGGUGAGGUAAUGGCCCACCAAGGCUAUGAUGUUUAGCCGGGUCGAGAGACUGAACGGCCACAUUGGGACUGAGAUACGGCCCAAACUCCUACGGGAGGGCAGCAGUAGGGAAUAUUCCACAAUGAGCGAAAGCUUGAUGGAGCGACACAGCGUGCACGAUGAAGGCCCUCGGGUUGUAAAGUGCUGUUGCAAGGGAAGAACAGUUAGUUGAGGAAAUGCUUCUAAUCUGACGGUACCUUGUUAGAAAGCGAUGGCUAACUAUGUGCCAGCAGCCGCGGUAAUACAUAGGUCGCAAGCGUUAUCCGGAAUUAUUGGGCGUAAAGCGUUCGUAGGCUGUUUAUUAAGUCUGGAGUCAAAUCCCAGGGCUCAACCCUGGCUCGCUUUGGAUACUGGUAAACUAGAGUUAGAUAGAGGUAAGCGGAAUUCCAUGUGGAGCGGUGAAAUGCGUAGAUAUAUGGAAGAACACCAAAGGCGAAGGCAGCUUACUGGGUCUAUACUGACGCUGAGGGACGAAAGCGUGGGGAGCAAACAGGAUUAGAUACCCUGGUAGUCCACGCUGUAAACGAUGAUCAUUAGUCGGUGGAAAACUACUGACGCAGCUAACGCAUUAAAUGAUCCGCCUGAGUAGUAUGCUCGCAAGAGUGAAACUUAAAGGAAUUGACGGGGACCCGCACAAGCGGUGGAGCAUGUGGUUUAAUUUGAAGAUACGCGGASAACCUUACCCACUCCUGACAUCCCCCGCAAAGCUAUA